GUGGUAGCACACGCCUGUAAUCCCAGCUGCUCCAGAGGCUGAGGCAGGAGAAUUGAUUUAACCCAGGAGAUGGAGGUUGCAGUGAGUUGAGAUUGUGCCACUGCACUCCAGCCAGGAUGACAGAGCAAGACUCUGUCUCAAAAAAAAAAAAAAGAAAGAAAGAAAGAAAAAGAAAGUGAAAGACCGAGGCCGGGUGAAAAUAUCCUAGAUCCUAGUGAGAUCUAAGGAAGGUCGGCAAGUCUCACUGAGCCCAAGCCAGCCCCUGGGAGUCUGGUGUUUUCCAGCAACCAGCCUGCUUCAGUGUCCCCGCCAGGCUGGAGAGCAGCCUGCAGGACACACAGCCAGGGGGCUCCUCGGUCAGUUCCGCUCCCGUGCUCAGUCAGAAGAUGCCCAUUCAACCCGGACCUCCUCCUUUUCCUGCAGGGUCACAGGCAACAAGACCAGCCUCUUUGUGCUUCCCUUUCCUUGGCAACAAGGCGCCCGCCUCAGAGGGAAGGAGUGAGGAGUCUGUCACUGCUAGUGGACAACUCGCAGGGCCGAGGUAGUAGGUUUGCCCGUGGGUGGUCCCCCUCUCUCUUGAGGCUGACAUACACAGGAGUUCUCAACUAGGGAAAGAAACAAGCCCCCUCGUCUGCUGCUGCUGGCCGGGGGACGCACAGACCUCUCUCCCCUUCUCCCAUCUCUUCUCCUCCUCUCUUACUACCCCUCUUCACCCUUUCCUGUCAGAGCAUCCCCCAGACUGGCAGCCACCUCCUCUGGGAAGCCUUCCUGGCCUUCAGCCACACAGCCCUCUCCCUCCUUGGAAUCCCACCACCCAGGAAGGUACUUCAGUGGCUUCAGUGCCUCAUCCCUGCUCAGCGUUGAGCUCCUGAGAGGCCUGUCUUGCCUUCUACCUCCCCGAGCACUGGCAGAGCACUCAGAAGUCCCUGGAUUGAUGGGGAGGCAGGUCUGCACUGGAAAGGGCCCCAAAGGGCCUGUCGCCUCUGCUAUCUGAGGCUGCUGGCCGCCGUUUGAUGUUUUCUGCCGAGUAGAGACUUUUCUAAGGAUUAUCAUAACAACAACAACCACCCAGGUAAUAAUAUCCUUUCAUAGCCCUGCCUGCCCCUUUCCUAUCCAUGGCCUUCUGAUGGACGGAGGUGAUGAUGGGGUUUGCUUCAGAGAUGGUAUCUGGGGUGUGUGUGUGUGUGUGUGUGUGUGUGUGUGUGUGUGGGUGUGCCUGUGUUAAGAUCUGCGUGCAAAUGCUCCAUUGCGCUGAUGUGUGUCUGAGA
rnacentral:lncRNA from 1 species